GGGGUCGUAGCUCAGUUGGCUAGAGCGCCUGCUUUGCAAGCAGGAGGUCGUCGGUUCGAACCCGAUCGACUCCA
rnacentral:tRNA from 1 species